AUUUAAAGCAGCACAAACAAGUCCAGGGUGCAUUUCAUGGUGAGCGUGACGUCUGAAAGCAGGGGUGUCCCGGCAACGCUGAGCAGCGGCCGAAGAGAGGAAGCGGCGCUCCGCACGGGGCCGGGGCCACUGCCUGCAACCAGCCUCUUGCUAGUGAUGGGUCCUCUCCCCUCCACCCCCGGGCACGCGGAGAAGCCCUUGCUGGCAGAGGGCAGCGGACGAGGUCUCUCUCCUGGAUGCUGUGACGUCUGGAAGGGACAGCUGUAGCCACUGAGGCCGUUCGGGCCACACGGCCGAGCAACGGUGUGGACCGAGUGACUGGAGCAAGCGACAGGACCUAGGGGACCCGCGAGCCGGCGCCCGCACCAGCGCACCGCAGCUGGCCAGCCUUCCGGGCCCCGAAGCUGCCUCUGCUCGCCCGGCCUCCGUGCACCACGGAUCUCCGGGACGGGGCGGGGGCACCUUCGCCACCACCACACACCUAGGCCAGAGGACCCCUCCCCUGAGAGUAUCCGGAAGUUUGUCACAAAAGUAAGCGAUCACUUGACCGAUGGGGGCUCCGGGGGGCGGGGUCUGGGGAACGAGUUCCCUCACCAAGACGGGAACUACUUUAAUAAGGACAAAAGUCCUUCCUUCCCUCACCUGGGCUGAGUCUUCCCCUGAUUCACCCACGUGUAUCUCCCUGUCCUUCCAAGGGAUUCUUUGUAAAUUCUAUCAGGCGUUUUUACAUAAGAUCUACAAUGCAGAUGGCUCCAGGGCAACCGUUCAUUCUACACAGUGAGGGGUACAGAGUCUGGGAGAAGGCAGCUCCGGCUGCCAGCAGUGGAACGGGCCGCGUGUCCUGGACGGCGCCAGCUGAGCGCACGCGGCCCUGUCCGACGGCCGCACCGUGUCCUCUGAAACAGAAGCGCUAAUCGGAUCAACAGAAGAGAAGGCUUCCAGCCAACAGAAUCCCCAGCCAGCCCGUGUGCUGGAGAAAACAAGACCAAUGUGGCAAGAGCCGAGCUCUCUGCACCGGAAAUUACGCCGUUUUCUGGCUCCAAAAAACCACGUUGGCUGCAGACCCCGGGUUUUGGGCCUCGCGCGGCCACCUGGGUGACAUCUAGCAUCUGGCCGGCCCCACCCAGACGGCGCCCAUCCCCCGGUCCCCAGAUACGGACGGUCACGUGCAGACAGGGCACACACGCCUCCUUGUACCGUCCAGCCUGGCGUGGGGACGGGCUGGCCCUGCGCCUCGGGAACCCCAGGCCGGUGCGGCCCGCAACGCCUCUCUGACGCCCCGCCUCCCAGCGAGAAGCAGCGUGUGCGCGUCGCGAUGGCCAGAAAGGGCUGCAGGGACUCACCACAAAGCAGCUGGCCCGGCGUGCCUGGCUGUGACAGGGCAGCUCCCCUGUGACGGUCACUGCCACCCUCCACCUCACUGACGGACCACCCCUGAGCCCCUGCACCCACAGCGGGGAGGCGUUCAGAGAGGGACGGAGCACCAGGAAGCUGACAGGUGCCAGCUCCCCCGAUGGCGCCAGGCGUCUGGCCCGGAACCUUCUCCAGGAAUGGUUCAGAGAAGCAUCCAAAGGAGGCCGAGCCCCGGACACUGACAGGCUCCCCUGCCGAUCAGGAGGUCCCCUUCCCAUGUAGGAGGUCUGUGGCACACGGAGACCAGUGGGGCCCCUGCCUGGGGACUGCCCGGAGCCCAUUAGGCCACACUCACCAGUAGAAGUAAUAGGCCAGGGCCACAGUGACCAGGGCGGUGCACACGCCUGAGAAGAGGCAGGCCAAGUAGCUGGACAGCAUCUUCGGACCCCUCGCCCGCAGUGCCGUCAGAGUCCGUGAGCAGAGGAGGGGACCAGCGGCCUGAGCGGUGUCAGCCCCCGGCUGGCGGAUGAGGACGAGGAUUGCGUCCGGACCCACGGUGCCCGUGUCCGAUGGGCCGGGGCCGCCACCUGCUCAGCCCAAAGGGGAGCACGCGCUCCGGGCACCUCCCACCCGGCCGCACCCUGCAGCCUCACAGAGCCACCCGGACGAACACAGGGCUCCCUGAACGGCAGCCUCACCCCUCCCGCUGCAGGGGCCUGUGGGGGCCACUAAUCCAGUAAGCAGCUUUGCCGGGAGCCUCUGUGAGCAGGUGGCUCACGCCGGGGGCUGGGCCGGGAUGCAGGUCGUUGGCCCAGGCACACGCACUGCCUCCCCCUCCUUUCUGAAGCCACAAAGGCACGACCCCAGAACAGCAGGGCCUGGGGUGGGCCGUGGGCUCAGCCAGUGACGGGGAGCCCACGCUUGGCCACCGGGCCACCAGGUGACAGACAGACACACCCUGUAUUCGGGGCUGGGUCUUGGCCCACAGCUGCACCCCCCCCCAUGGCAGACGAGGGCUCCCGGGAAAAGCCGCACCUCUUACUCUCAGGGAGACGGCGCUGGGGGAAUGAGGGAAGGUGGGGGGGUGCCUCUCCCCUGUCUCCCUGAGGCUUCAGAUCUGUGACGGGGCGCAGAUCAGGUGACCCAGGAACAGAACUGUCACCCACCAAACCUGCUCCCAGUGAAGAAGCGUCACCUGAGGAAGCGGGAGGGGGAGCUUUGAUCAGGAGGGCGCCCUGAGGGCUCUUCUGGCCCGAGGGCCUCCCUCAAGGCUGUGGCUUGGUCAUCACUGGGCGCCCUCCAGGCACCCUACACAGGAUACCGGCCCAGUGCUCCCACCCUGCGCCCUGGGCACCACAUCGAGCCUCAGCACAGAACUUCCAUGGGGCCCUGAGGCAGCUGGUUCUGGGGCCUCCAGACAGGUGACUGCAAAGCUCCGCCCAGAGGCAUCUGUCACCUGGCUUCUGGCCUGACGGUCACUGACCCUGCACUCUGUCCACUGGGAGGGGCGGAAGAUUGCCCUGAGCAUCGUCUUGCUGGCUAAGGCUUCCCGAGUCCUUAAUCCCAGGAGCUGCUGGCCUCGGAGGCCUGGCUCUAAAAUAGCCUCCUAGGGGAUGCCGGGGAUGCCAAGGAGCCACGCCUCAGCGACAGCACCGCCCCCGCCAGGCGCCCGGCCCGCCGCCUCUCUCAUCCAUCAGAGGAAAGCCCUCCUCUCCCAGAGCGCCGUCCAGGUUGUGCGUCCGCAGAGCCGCCCUGUGGGGGACCUCGGUGUGUGACGUGUGAGGACACGGGGCGCCCCACACGGGGUGGCAGGUGGGCCUGACUUGUCCUGCGAGGCGGCACCUGAAACUGCUCUUUGCCCCGAGGCCACGUGCCAUCUACAGACCCCUGCGAGGACCCCAUGGGCUCUGCCAGGGGAAGGGCUUCCGGGAGCCGGUGCCCAGGACUGCUGCGCUCCAGACUGUCCUCCGGACCACGGCCUCGAUGACUGUCUUAGGUACAAAGGGGACACAGACCCUUCCCAGCUGCCUCUGCAGUGCCCCCGACACACCUCCCC
rnacentral:lncRNA from 1 species